rnacentral:rRNA from 1 species
UACGUAGGGUGCGAGCGUUAAUCGGAAUUACUGGGCGUAAAGCGUGCGCAGGCUGUUUUGUAAGUCAGAUGUGAAAGCCCUCGGCUCAACCGAGGAAGUGCAUCUGAAACUGGCGAGCUAGAGUACUAAAGAGGGUCGCGGAAUUCCCGGUGUAGAGGUGAAAUUCGUAGAUAUCGGGAGGAACACCGGUGGCGAAGGCGGCGACCUGGGUAGAUACUGACGCUGAGGUGGCGAAAAGCGUGGGGGAGCCAAACAGGGAU